rnacentral:rRNA from 1 species
AAGUCCCGCAACGAGCGCAACCCUUAUCCUUGUUUGCCAGCACUUCGGGUGGGAACUCCAGGGAGACUGCCGGUGAUAAACCGGAGGAAGGUGGGGACGACGUCAAGUCAUCAUGGCCCUUACGAGUAGGGCUACACACGUGCUACAAUGGCGCAUACAGAGGGCGGCCAACUUGCGAAAGUGAGCGAAUCCCAAAAAGUGCGUCGUAGUCCGGAUUGGAGUCUGCAACUCGACUCCAUGAAGUCGGAAUCGCUAGUAAUCGUGGAUCAGAAUGCCACGGUGAAUACGUUCCCGGGCCUU